GAGGAAGACAGAGAGUGAGUCGAGAGGAGAGACACCAUGUAGCCAUCAAAGGAGUAACAUGCUGGAGCAUUACAGAAUUAACUCAUAACUGCUACAAUAUGUCCUAAGAAAAUUGGUAACAUCCCAGUGCCUACCAGUAUCAGAAGGACUGGGAAUUGCUGGUGUGUGUGUGAUACAUUGAUGGUUGCCACGCAAUGAGCAAUGAUCCACUGCUUUCAGGCUAAUGGAGAUGAAGAGCACUUGGUCCUCAUUAAUAUCUGUCUUGAAAAUACAUGUUCUCAUUCUUCUCAAGAGUGCUUAAGGAAGAUAUCUCAGCAAUGUGAGGAGAAGAUGUGUAUUGGGAAUGAAGGACAAUGAAUAACCUAAAGCCAAAUGGCUAUCUAACAAAUGACAGAGUAGACUGUGAGUUCUUGGAGACAAACUAUGAUUGGAAGAGCUUGGAUUUCAGCAUCUGCACAUGUAGCAGAAUGUGGGGUAAGUUCCAGCUCACUGAACUUUGCUCUCCACAUCUGUGAAAUGAGGUGGGGGAAACCUUAUCCUCAGGAGUGUCAUAAGGACUCAAGGGAACUGUGUGUAAACCACCUGAUGCUGGGCCUAAGGAGCUGGCUCGACAAGAAUGCUUCCUGUUCUUGCAGAGGACUCAAGUUCACCCAUAUCAGGCAACUCACAACUGCCAACAACUACAGCUCCAGGGAAUCUGACACCUUCUCUGGCUUCCUCAGGUACCUGCAUCUAUAUCCACACACAGACACAUAUUUAGAAAUAAAGCUAAUCUUCUAAAAAAAAAAAGUCAACAAGCUGAAUGGUGGUGGUGCACUCCUUUAAUCCUAAGGAGACAGAGGCAGGCAAAUCUCUGAGUUUGAGGCCAGCCUGGUCUACAGAGUGAAUUCCAGGACAGCCAGGGCUACACAGAGAAACCCUAUCUCAAAAAAAAAAAAAAAAAUACUGAGAAAGAGAGAGAGAAGGUCAACAAAAGAUACCUGAUGUAUACUUAUUUGGUGGCAAAUGGCCUUUCAUCUUCUCCCUCUAUCCCUUGUUAAGAAUUAUGUACUAGCACACAUAGAAGAUGUGACUGCAUAAUAAAGGAGAUCAAUAUCAGAAGUUACUGAGUUGGAAUGUAAACUAUGAGAUGAAUGUCCCUGGGCCCGGCAGUGCAUCUUAGGGAACUGCUCACUUUGCCUAGCAGUGCUGUUUGCAUGAACAUUUUUGAAAUGCUUCUCGAUGCCUGUCAGACCCCUGUGCAGAAACCAUUGGCAGGAAAUGAAAUCAACGAUCUGCUGUCUACCCAUCACCACCGACUGUUACUCAUCCUGAAUAAGUGAAUGAGUGACUCUUUUCAAAACAGAGCUGGGAAUCAGAG
ensembl:lncRNA